UAACUACGUGCCAGUCAGCAGCGGUAAUACGUUAGGCUGCAAGCGUUAAUCCGGAAUUACUGGGCGUAAAGAGGAAUGCGUAGGCGUCUAAAUUAGUCUUUAAUUAAAGGCAGAAGCUCAACUUCUCGUAAGGGUUAAAGAAACGAUUUAGAUUGAGGAAGACAGGGGAAGACUGGAACUUCUGGUGGAGUAGUGAAAUGCGUUGAUAUCAGUAAGGAACACCAAAGGCGAAGGCAAUCUUCUGGGUCUUUUCUGACGCUAAGGCUCGAAAGCGUGGGGAGCAAAACGGAUUAAGAUACCCGUGUAGUCCACGCCGUAAACGAUGGAUGCUAGAUAUUUGUAUUUGUGGAUUUAUCUGUGAGU
rnacentral:rRNA from 1 species